AAAAAAUGAGUGAAAUGAGAAAGAACAAGCUAUGUUAGCAUGCUGUUAAUGCAAACUCGCCAUCUUGGAGGAAAGCUUUCCAGGAAUGGACUGUGUGGGACUUUCCUUACAAAAGAAGCCAAUGAGAUUCUUAAAUUAUAGUCACUGCCAGUAGCAUGGUAUAGGUCAGUUAGAUAUUAACUAGGGUUUAGAAGCUGGAUGAAAACUAUAUUUAGUGAUUUUUACAUUUAACUUUCUUUAAGUCAUUCAGUCUUAUAAAGUUAACUGGUUAGGUUGCAGGCACUUAUUGCAGUUUGGGGGAAUAUCAAAGGCCCAACACACAGAGUCAAGUUACGCAAUGCCUCUUCCCAUGCUGCUGCUUGGAUAAUAAGAAAGUUGCUAACGGGGUCACCUAACACUGACAUGUCAAACAGAGAGGACACAAUACGUUUUCACUAAAUGAUGGUUCCUUUAAUAUAGCUUGAUAAUGGAAAAAUUGAGAAUCCCAAAAUAUAUUCAAAUACAGUUUAAGU